GCUGAACGCUAGCUACAGGCUUAACACAUGCAAGUCGAGGGACCGGCGCACGGGUGAGUAACACGUAUCUAACCUGCCCUUUACUCGGGCCAAGCCUUUCGAAAGAAAGAUUAAUACCCGAUAUAAUGGUUGGGGAUGCGUUCCAUUAGGUUGGUGGUUAGGUAACGACUUACCAAGCCUCCGAUGGAUAGGGGUUCUGUGAGGCAGGUCCCCCACAGUGGAAAUAAGACACUGUCCAAACUCGUACGGGAGGGAGCAGUAAAGAAUAUUAGUCAGUGGACGGUAGCAUGAGCCAGCCAAGUAGCGUGAAGGAUGAAGGCUUGUGGGUCGUAAUCUUCUGUGAUAUAAGAAUAUGUAUUAUAUGAAUAAGGAUCGGCUAACUCCGUGCCAGCAGCCGCGGUAAUUC
rnacentral:rRNA from 1 species